rnacentral:rRNA from 1 species
UACGGAGGGGGCUAGCGUUGUUCGGAAUUACUGGGCGUAAAGCGCACGUAGGCGGCUUUGCAAGUUAGAGGUGAAAGCCCGGGGCCCAACUCCGGAAUUGCCUUUAAGACUGCAUCGCUAGAAUCGUGGAGAGGUGAGUGGAAUUCCGAGUGUAGAGGUGAAAUUCGUAGAUAUUCGGAAGAACACCAGUGGCGAAGGCGACUCACUGGACAAGUAUUGACGCUGAGGUGCGAAAGCGUGGGGAGCAAACAGG